GAAAUGCGAUACGUAGUGUGAAUUGCUGAAUUCAGUGAAUCAUCGAAUCUUUGAACGCACAUUGCGCCCUUUGGUAUUCCAAAGGGCAUGCCUGUUCGAGCGUCAUUUGUACCCUCAAGCUUUGCUUGGUGUUGGGCGUCUUUUUGUCUCUCCCCUUGUUGGGGGAGACUCGCCUUAAAACGAUUGGCAGCCGACCUACUGGUUUUCGGAGCGCAGCACAAAUUUGCGCCUUCCAAUCCACGGGGCGGCAUCCAGCAAGCCUUUGUUUUCUAUAACAAAUCCACAUUUUGACCUCGGAUCAGGUAGGGAUACCCGCUGAACUUAAGC
rnacentral:misc_RNA from 1 species